UACGUAAAUGGCACGCAAUGGCCGGAAUUAUUAUGCGGAAAGCGCGCGCAGGCGGCCUCUUAAGUCUGAUGUGAAAGCCCCCGGCUCAACCGGGGAGGGCCAUUGGAAACUGGGAGGCUUGAGUAUAGGAGAGAAGAGUGGAAUUCCACGUGUAGCGGUGAAAUGCGUAGAGAUGUGGAGGAACACCAGUGGCGAAGGCGACUCUUUGGCCUAUAACUGACGCUGAGGCGCGAAAGCGUGGGGAGCAAACAGG
rnacentral:misc_RNA from 1 species